rnacentral:rRNA from 1 species
GUGAGGAAUUUUCCGCAAUGGGCGAAAGCCUGACGGAGCGACGCCGUGUGUGGGAUGAAGUUUUUCGGAAUGUAAACCACUGUCAGAGGGGAAGAUAUUGACGGUACCCUCAGAGGAAGGCCCGGCUAACUACGUGCCAGCAGCCGCGGUAAUACGUAGGGGCCAAGCGUUGUCCGGAAUCACUGGGCGUAAAGGGUAUGUAGGCGGUCUGGUAAGUCGGAUGUUAAAUCUACGGGCUCAACCCGUAGCCGCAUUUGAUACUGCCAGACUAGAGAGUGCUAGAGGAAAGCGGAACUUCCGGUGUAGCGGUGAAAUGCGUAGAUAUCGGAAGGAACACCAGUGGCGAAGGCGGCUUUCUGGGGCACUUCUGACGCUGAGAUACGAAAGCUAGGGGAGCAAACGGGAUUAGAUACCCCGGUAGUCC